UCAAUGCACUAACGUGCGAAGGGGUUACCUCGAGUGCUACCUGAUGAAGGUGGCUUUUCCUUGGUCUAAAUAGCCUUGGGAAUAAGAGGGGGGCAAGACUGGUGUCAGCCGCCGCGGUAACACCAGCCCCUCGAGUGGUGGGGAUGAUUAUUUGGCCUAAAGCGUCCGUAGCCUGCCUGGUAAGUUUCCCGUUAAAUCCAACGUCUCAAGCGUUGGACCGCGGGAAAUACUGCCUGGCUAGAGAGUGGGAGAGGUCAGCGGUAUUCUGGGGGUAGGGGCGAAAUCCUUUGAUCCCCGGAGGACCACCAGUGGCGAAGGCUGCUGACUAGAACACGUCUGACGGUCAGGGACGAAAGCUGGGGUAGCGAACCGGAUUAGAUACCCGGGUAGUCCCAGCCGUAAACGAUGCGGGCUAGGUGUUGGGAUGGCUACGUGCCAUUUCAGUGCCGCAGGGAAGCCAUUAAGCCCGCCGCCUGGGGAGUACGGCCGCAAGGCUGAAACUUAA
rnacentral:rRNA from 1 species